GGGCCAGUGGCGCAAUGGAUAACGCAUCUGAUUAGGAAUCGGAAGAUUCCAGGUUCGGCUCCUAGCUAACUCU